UGGGAAGAAGCUUAAUUUGGUGGAAACUGCCGCGAGGUUAUAACUUUAACAAAGGAAAUACUUAUCUUAAUAAUAUAUUAUUAUUAUAAAAUUUAAAUUAAAUAUUUAAUUAUACUUAAUUUAAGAGUAGUUUGUCUGCUAAUAUAAAAAUACAAUAGAAUUAUAUUGUAAUUAGUCAAUUAUAUCUAAAACACCUUUGUUAAGCUAAUUAGUUUCAGUUAAUCCAUUUAAGUAACAUCU
rnacentral:rRNA from 1 species